GCGCGGCGCAGGACGGCGCGGACAUCUUCUUCGGUCAGUCCGAAGUCGGCGGCCAGAGUACGCACCCACGGCGGAUCGAAGCCACCGGCGUGCA
rnacentral:tRNA from 1 species